GAUGAACGCUGGCGGCGUGCCUAAUACAUGCAAGUCGAGCGAACGGACGAGAAGCUUGCUUUUCUGAUGUUAUCGGCGGACGGGUGAGUAACACGUGGAUAACCUACCUAUAAGACUGGGAUAACAUCGGGAAACCGGAUCUAAGGCCGGAUAAUAUUUUGAACCGCAUGGUUCAAAAGUGAAAGACGGUCUUGCUGACACUUAUAGAUUGAUCCGCGCUGCAUUAGCUAGUUGGUAAGGUAACUGCUUACCAAGGCAACGAUGCAUAGCCGACCUGAAAGGGUGAUCGGCCACACUGGAACUGAGACACGUCCCAGACUCCGACGGGGGGCCGCAGUCGAGACUCUUCCGCGAUGGGGGAGUGGCUAACGGAGCAACGCCGCGUGAAGGCUGAUGCACUUCGGAUCGUAAAGCUCUGAUGUUCUUAGGGUUCUUAAGUGUAUGUAACUGUGCACAUCUUGACGGUACCUAAUCAGAAAGCCCCGGCUAACUCCGUG
rnacentral:rRNA from 1 species